GGUGUUGAUAUUCAACUUGGGAUGGCAAUUGAUAGUACAAAAGGCUACACUAGCAGUGAAACGGAGGCUUGCCUGUGAGAUGGAUCUCGAUUGGAAAAUGGAUCUGUUUCAGUUAAAAGCUAGUUUGAUGAUAAAAUAGAGGGCGCUUCAGCUAAAAUGAUUUAUUAGAAAAACAAGUGGAGAUACAACCAACAAGAACUAAAGAUCCUUCAAAGAGAAAAAAGGUACUUGCAUCUAGUUAAACCAUUACUAGCUUGUUUGACUAUAUCCCUCUUUGCUUGCAGGUUAUGCAAUGAGACUAUAAGCUGAGUUCAUAUUCUUUGAAUUCUGUUUCUGCACACUUUCUCGCAGAGCAGCAAUCUCCUUAGGUAUGACACCAUGGAAGUGGUACAUUAAAACAAACUGUUGUCAAGCCAGGCUGGUCCAUUCAUCUAGCAGGGAAGCAUGUGUUUGAGGAUAAUGGUAAGAAAUUAGAUGAAACAAUGGUUAUAUUCAAUGCACUCUUGUGAAAUACCUGAUGAUGGACCUUGAUUUUUUAGCCAGGCAUUGUUCACAGUGAUUAACUGCUGAUGGCCCAGCUAUCCCUCACUAUAUAUGAACCCCACCUACUUAGUAGCCUUGAUAUUUGGUUCUAUGUUCUUGAUUUUGUCAGUGAUUUUGCUGAUGACGGCAGGUGGUCAGGUGUUUACUGAUAGAGUCGUUCCCAGAAUCGGCCCUGAAUGAACAGGCAGGCAAGAUGUUACCUAAGAAUUACGAGGAGUGUGCAAGGCAUGCCAGGUGAGGCCCCACCAAGACCGAGGAGCAAGAUGGAUUCACUUAUUUUUAUACCAGACCUUGUCAAAACCAC